CGUCCCCGCCCGCCACCGCAGGAGCGGCGCGGGGUGACAACCGGAGGGACAGUCCCGGGGCCUGUGGCCUCUGAACCCCAGGGUCCCCCAGGCAGAAACGCGUCUCUAGCCCCGGCCGAGGGAAACCCUCCUCAAGACAGAGCCGGGGCUCCCCUCAGGGCCCGCGCCGGCCUCUCCCGCUUUCCGUGACUGGAAAGGGCGGAACGGGCACCAAACUGGCGGCGAGGUGGAUCAUUUUGACCUUUAUUGAUUGCAUUUGUGCUGCAGAAGGAGCCAUACAGUGCUGACCAUCACUACCCUGCUAACACAGCUGCUGCGAAAUACCUGGUACAGCAGCAGAGACCCCGAUGCAGUGAGUGUGUUUCUUGGCAGUCAGCAGGCAGAAACCCACCUCCGCCCCGAGGGCAGCGGGCAGUCAGCCGUAGAGCACCCAUCACUCCCCUGCUGGGAAAGUACUGGGAGAGAGGAAGAUUGCUGGGUACAACGUAAAUCCAUAGGAAACCUGGUUAUUAGUUUUGCAGGUAGAACUUGUUCAUAUAGAACCAGUAUAAUUAUAUUCAUGUAUGUCGUAGACUUCAACUAAGAAAAAACUUCUUUCCAGUAGCGUUGAAUACUUCGACAAAUAUUUCCAUGUAGAGUAUAAAAAAACGCAUAUUCAAAGAUCAGCAAUACUCAGAUGGCAGAAGAGCUAACAGGUGAGUGAGCAGUGUCGGGGACAUUUAAAACUUAGGAGAGCCCUUAAAAAAUUCAGCACUGUAAUUCAUGCAUGACAGAAGCACCUAUUUGACGUAAACCAUCAGUAACUUGGGAACUAACCUGAUGUGCGCUAGUGUUUUAUCAAAAGCCUCAUGGUUAUAAACUCCAGCCACUAUCAACAUAAAUACAUUGACACUGUUCACUUCUGCAGACAGCAAGGUGUACAACAGCAGUCUC